rnacentral:rRNA from 1 species
GCGGUGUAGGCGGAAGCAACGGUGGUGGCAGAGGAUGAGGUAGCCAACACUGUUUUUUUAUAUAUAUAUAUUUUUAAUUGGGGUAGCCCCCAAAAUAUUGGGACAUAUGAAAAAAGACAAUUCUGUUCCGCAGAGUUGCUGUUGACAUUAUAGUUGCGCAGGCACUUUGUUGACUCUAGAGAACCUCAGGCCAAUCGCACAUCCCUGUGACGGCAACUUUGCAUUCGGAUGUCAUCCAUAUCAACUUUCUAUGGCAGUUUCUGCGCCUACCAUGGUGACCACUGGUAACAGGGAAUCAGGGUUCCAUUCCAUACAGGGACCCUGAGAAAUGGCUACCACAUGCAAAGAAGGCAGCAGGCG